GUCUGUCAGCUUGUCAUGUGCACCACAUCUAUUGGAAACCACUUUUCAAGUUUCUGUUUCUCCAUGAAUCACAAUGACCUCUGGGCCAAGAGGAAAAAUAAUAAUUCAGAGAAACAAGAGAAUGAGGUGAGCAGCUUCUGGAACAUCAGGAUUGCUGUUCCCAUCAGUUGUUUGGUCCCCAAGGAGAUCCUCAAUGACUCUGAAUCCAAAGGAACUAAUAUUCUAGCAACAGCAUAUGUUUUCAGGAGUUUGGAACUUUGUAGAAGAAUGAAGAGAGAAGAAAGAAGAAGUGGUUGUCAUCCCAUGGCAGCAGCAUGGCUGGGGCAGCAGUAGCUGGUGUCUGCCACAUCUGCAAUUCCCUUAUUUAAUAUCAUGAGAGGUCACAGUAAAAGCACCUUCCACAGAGAUACAAAGCCCCCUCUUCCAAGAGAGUGAAGGAUUGGGACAUGAGAAGGAAAUGAACAGGAAGCACAAUGCCCUGGAGAAUGGGAAUUACUCUCUAUGACUUGUAAUUGAUCAAAUGUUUCUUCAUCAAUGUUCUGGAAUCGUGGAUGGCCAUUGUAAGGAUCAUAGUUCUUAUAGCUGUCAAAGUUGUUUGUUUUUGCAGUGUUGUUGAUAUUGUAUAAAUUGUUCUCCUGCUUCUGCUCAUUACAUCACUCAUCAGUUUACAAACUUUUCUCCACCAGCAACACAACUUGGCUUUUAUUCCACUGAAUAUCAUGCCCUGCCCAGGAUAGGCUGAUCACUGGAAAUCUCAUCACCACACCACGGAUUUUGAUAUUCAGCCCCUUCUCAACUUAAUCUCAAUUGCUUCUUCUCUUUGAUUGAAGGGCAGAACAUUAAACUCUUCCCAAAGCCUUCCUUUAUAGGGGGUUUCCGACCUUUCUCCAUUUUCCAUCAGCAGCUCUGUUUGGCUUUGAGUCACUGAAACACAGUGCCCUUGAUUCAGUACCCCACUUUUCAGCUUCCUUUUGUAUAUUGUCCUCCAUUAGAUUGUAAACUCCUUGAGGGCAGGGAUUGUCUCAU